GAAUCCCUGCGGUCGAGCGCGAUUCGAUCGAAUAAUCUUGAACCUUUAGAAAAAAACUAGGGAGCCUAACUGAGUGUACGCCCAUGGCGUAUGCGCGAGGGCACCCACCUGUUAUACACAGGAUCAAGAUCAUUCAUAUCUCAACGCCGACUGUGGGGAUUUU
rnacentral:other from 1 species